rnacentral:lncRNA from 1 species
ACAAUUUUAUUUAUUAAUAAAGAUCAAGUAUACAUAGACGUAAAUAAGAAAAUCUCUUGUAUAUUUCAAGAGAUUUUGGUAGCUGAAUUCAAACAAACUGAUUAACACAAGUACUAAAAAUAUAUGUCCUUUAUUUUAUUUAUUAAACAGAAUAUAAAAGAGUAACAUUACACUUAACCACUGUAGUCAAGAUUUCUCCCGUAUUGAGGAACAACGAGAAGAUCAAGAUUGUCACAUAUGGUUUCAUCAUCAAAAAUAGCAAAGUGAGUGAAGAAACCCUCCGACCAUAUAUUCCCACCUGAAAAUUUUAUAUCAAAAAAUAUUUGUAAAUGCAAACAUUAAAAUAAUAAUCAUAAAUGGUAUUCAACUGAAAUUAGCCUAAAACCUGCGAAAGAUGUUUCCAUAUUCUUCAAAUCAGAAAAGAUAUCUGCAUGUGGCGAUUCGUAAUCAAAACUUCAAAAGCAAGUGAGUUGCUCUUGCGAGUU